rnacentral:rRNA from 1 species
AGAGCGAACGCUGGCGGCAGGCCUAAUACAUGCAAGUCGAACGCACCUUCGGGUGAGUGGCGGACGGGUGAGUAACACGUGGGAACGUGCCUUUUGGUUCGGAAUAAUCCGGGGAAACCUGGCCUAAUACCGGAUGUGCCCCCUCCUUUAACCAGGGGGGUGGGAAAGAUUUAUCGCCAAUAGAGCGGCCCGCGUCUGAUUAGCUAGUUGGUGGGGUAAAGGCCCACCAAGGCGACGAUCAGUAGCUGGUCUGAGAGGAUGAUCAGCCACACUGGGACUGAGACACGGCCCAGACUCCUACGGGAGGCAGCAGUAGGGAAUCUUGCGCAAUGGGCGAAAGCCUGACGCAGCCAUGCCGCGUGAAUGAUGAAGGUCUUAGGAUUGUAAAAUUCUUUCAGCGGGGAAGAUAAUGACUGUACCCGCAGAAGAAGCUCCGGCUAACUUCGUGCCAGCAGCCGC